UUUUUAAAAAAAAAUUCCUUUCCGAAUCCUUUAUUCCCCAAUGCACCACCGCUGCUCCGGCGCCGACAGAACCAUUGUCCACUGACGACGACCAGUCAUAUACAAUCUCUCUUCCCUUAUGAUUUCUCUUGGCAUGAGUUACUUAUUUCCCACUCUCUCUGCCCCUAAUUUUCUAGAAUCUCCUCAGCCACUUGCUUCUUCUACUGCCUCUCUUCAGGUUUCAGUUUGAAAUACUUGCUUAAGAGGCUAUAUUCUGUCAAGAGGUUCUGCGGCUGCUUCCUCUUCCUCAUUUACCUAAAAGAAAGGGUCUAUAUCUCUAGCAUUUGCAUCCAAAGGUCCCAUGCCAUGCCCUGCAGUACUAGCUAGCACUACUGCCUCUGUUGUACUUGGUCCCCUGAUUUGGUUUUUUUGAGCCAUGUGAUGCUUUCAGCUCCCUAGAUCCAACUCCAAUUGCUAUUUUUUAUUAAGUCAUGUUUUACUGCCUAUAAUUAGGACCUGCAGUUUGAAGUUUUUGAUUUAGACAAUUCAUGUAUGCUGUUAAAACAUAAAUGGUGCAAAGCUAAUGCCGAGAACAGAAAAAAGAAGCAAUAUGAUCAUACGGGGGUUAACGUCCAUGUAGAUGUGCACUGAUCAAGCUUGAGCAGUAAGGCCUUUCAGUCUUGUGGAUAGUAGGUUUGCUUUUCCUCGGAUGUUUUCCAAUUAUGAGGUGAUAUGAUACUCUUCCUCUUGUCUUGGGAUUAUUCUCAUGGCUAUGAAAUUUCAAUGUGCAAUGAAUGGCUAUAUCAAUCUAAAAGAUUAGUUUUGUGUAGAAAUUGAAUGCAAGUAAAUUGUAUUGCAUACCUCUGUGGUGUCUGUGGUUGACUAGUCUGUGUUGCAUAUCUAUACUAAGGCCAGCUCCAUGAACAAACUGUGUACUGGAUUGGGCCCCAAUUUGGGGCCAUAUCUAUUAAAAGUUUAAUUUGAACUUAUUCGGUGGUCAACAUAAAUAUCUAAUUCAGGACCAAAUUAGUUUUACUCAAAUAAAUUGGAAAAACAACUGAAAAGUAGAGUUGCUCAGCAACAUCAUUUCUCAGUGUUCAUUCCAACCUCAGAAUACCUUUUUAUACAACUUCAGUCUUCAUUCUACAUGAUUUAUUUUGACACAUAGAUUGAGCAUUUACCGGUUCUAACUUGAAAGUAUCUAUGCAUAUUGUAUCCCCAUUGUAAAAAUAUAUUUUUUAUGGAGCAAUGUUUUAAUUCUAAUUAAGUCUGUUGUUGUUCAAGAGAGUUUUUCUGAUGUUGGUCCUACGAGCAGGUGUUAAUUUGCUUGGCUGAGUAUGAUGGAGGAGAUAAAAUAAGAGUUCUCCUAUGUUGUGAUGAAUUUCAUAUGGAAUGCAUUGACAAAUGGCUAAAAGAAAAGCAAGGGUACAUUCAUUACUUCUGUGAUAGUUCUCCCAGUUUACCAAGUGCUUGCUUUUGAUGACUUAUAUUCCUAUAUAUGAUGGUAUCCUACAUUCUCCGUAUGCUACAGUCUUCAGAUUAGCUGACAUGAAUUAAUUUUCCAAUUUCAUGGCUUCAUUUUUUUUUCUUCCAGCUAUUUGCAUUCGACUUGAAAUUUUUCUAAGAAACUCCUUGAUCAGCCUUUGUCAUAAUUCUUUCAUUGAUUAUAUAUUGUUGUUCUCUCAUUUUUCUGGAGUUAACUUGAUUGAGUUGUCAUGCAUUGCCAGGAAUUUUGGAUACCAUGUGAGUUAUAAGUUGCAAAUGAAAUUCAGACGAAAAACAAUGAACUUCAUUUUUAUAAGAAAAUUAGUCUGCUUUGAGUUUAAGUUUGUUUUUUCCUGAUACAUAAGUAGGAGAUUUUAAAUUGGGCUUGUUUGUGCUUUUGUGCAUCUGCAUAAAAGCACGCGCCAAAUUUUGGUCUUUUCCUGAGGCUACCUUCAUAGGCAACCAACUGAAGUCUAUUAGGCAACGAAACUAUUUGGUUGCUUAAAGAAUUUGGCCACGAAAAUCAGCUUUGGUCACCUGGUACUUUUAGCCAUGAGCCUAAGGCGACGACCUUUGAAACGAAACAAUUUGGUUGCCAAAUUGUUUUGGGGAUGAAAUUUGACCUUUUAGCGACGAAAAGUGGUGGUCGCCAAAAGGAAUUUUCCUUGUAGCUCAUUGUGUCUUAUGUUAUUUAAAGAAGGCACCAGGCCAGGGUAUUUUGUUUCCCACAUAGAGUUCCUUAUAGCUAAGGGGUUAUUGCGACGCCGAUUGGGCUGGGUGUCAUACCACAAGAAGGUCAGUCACGAGUUUUUGCAUAUUCCUUGGUGAUGCACCUAUAUAUUGGAAGAGCAAGAAACAAACCACUGUUCAUGUUCAUCAGCAGAGGCAGAGUAUAGAUCCAUGGCCUCUAUCACUUGCGAGUUGGUAUGGUUGAAAUAUCUUUUGGAAGACUUGCAAAUUAAGCAUGAACAACCAACAAUCUUGUUAUGUGAUAACCAAGCUGCCUUACACAUAGCGGCAAAUCUCAUAUUCCAUGAGCGUGCAAAACAUAUUGAGUUAGAUUGCCAUACAGUGUGUGAAAGGACCUAAUCAGGUCUUAUUGCAACUACUCAUGUACCUUCUGCCCAUCAAAUUGCAAAUAUAUUCACAAAACCUCUUGGGAGUGCACUGUUCCAUCACCAUCUACGCAAGUUAGGAGCUUUGGAUAUCCAUGCUCCAACUUGAGGGGGCGUAUUGAGAAUCAGCAAGUCAAGCCAUAAUUGUAGGACUCUCAUGCAAUCUUUCCAUUAUUCUGAUUGUAAUCAGUUGCAAGACUUUAGGCACGAGUUUAGUUAACUUUAUGUGUACAGCUCUUCCUUUCUUGUAUUGAAGAUUUGUAUCUGCUUGCUAAAACAUCAAUGAAAACACGAGAAAUUUCUCUGCAA